AGUGGGGGAUAGCUCGGGGAAACUCGAAUUAAUACCGCAUACACCCUACGGGGAAAAGGGGGCGCUUGCGCUCUCGCUAUUGGAUGAGCCUAAGUCGGAUUAGCUAGUUGGUGGGGUAAAGGCCUACCAAGGCGACGAUCUGUAGCUGGUCUGAGAGGAUGAUCAGCCACACCGGGACUGAGACACGGCCCGGACUCCUACGGGAGGCAGCAGUGGGGAAUAUUGGACAAUGGGGGAAACCCUGAUCCAGCCAGGCCGCGUGUGUGAAGAAGGCCUUUUGGUUGUAAAGCACUUUAAGCAGUGAAGAAGACCUAACGGUUAAUACCCGUUAGCGAUGACAUUAGCUGCAGAAUAAGCACCGGCUAACUCUGUACCAGCAGCCGCGGUAAUACAGAGGGUGCAAGCGUUAAUCGGAAUUACUGGGCGUAAAGCGAGCGUAGGUGGCUUAUUAAGUCAGAUGUGAAAUCCCCGGGCUUAACCUGGGAACUGCAUCUGAUACUGGUGAGCUAGAGUAGGUGAGAGGGAGGUAGAAUUUCAGGUGUAGCGGUGAAAUGCGUAGAGAUCUGAAGGAAUACCGAUGGCGAAGGCAGCCUCCUGGCAUCAUACUGACACUGAGGUUCGAAAGCGUGGGUAGCAAACAGGAUUAGAUACCCUGGUAGUCCACGCCGUAAACGAUGUCUACUAGUCGUUGGGGGACUUGAUCCCUUAGUGACGCAGCUAACGCAAUAAGUAGACCGCCUGGGGAGUACGGCCGCAAGGUUAAAACUCAAAUGAAUUGACGGGGGCCCGCACAAGCGGUGGAGCAUGU
rnacentral:rRNA from 1 species